CAGGCGGGUAGUGUAGACCCAGCCUCAGUGCCAUAUGCUCCCUUCGAGCUGCAGUGCCCACAAAGGACUUCCACUGAAUCAAGUGGGAAUUCUGUCUAGUCCUGAGAGUAGAAUAAUGAUUCUUAAUGUCCCUUUUGUCUACCCAGCGUAUCCUAGAUUCUGUGAAGUGUCACAACACUGUGAUUUCAUAAAAACAACAACUACAAAUAUUUUAUCAAUAUUGUGUAAAGUCUGAUAUGUCUAACAAAGAUUAAUAGCCUAACAAACGGUUAACUCCAGCCGCGUUUUCCCAUUCUUUUUUCAGGGCCCCAUGCCGCAAGGUGCUGAGCAUCUACUGUGAGAUAUUAAGUGCCAUCAGCUCCCAUGGGAAAUAAAUGUACUUAACUUUGUGUCUUUGUUUAGGGUAACCCUGGAUUGGACAAUGACAUAAAAGGGUCGAAAGGUUCAAAAGGAGAACAGGGAAGACAGGGUGAAAGAGGACCAAUGGGCUCACCAGGGUCACCAGGCUCUCAGAGAACCACAGGAGCAAAAGGUCGAAGAGGAACACCAGGUCCACAGGUAGGUUUCCUUAAUUUCCCAUAUCUACAGUAGAACUAACAUGGGAGCUUUCCUGCCUUCUAAAAUAUUUGCAGAGAGAGUCCAAUAUUUAUCUUAAAUUUGUUAUAGCAUAUAACAUAAAGGACAAAUCCUGCUUGCCUUACUCAUGCAAUUAAUCUCAGUUUGUUCAGUGGUACUACUUGUGGGUCCUAGUUCAGCAAUGUGUAUGCUGCACAAGUCCCAUUGAAGAACUAGUCCCAUUCAUGAGAACCCAUGCUGAAAGCCCAUGCUGUUGCCUCAGUGUAAUCCAUAGUCGUCUGUGUGGGUUUAAAAAAAAAAAAAAAAGGACCCAAAAUGGCUGGGAACUUCAAGACUGAAUGGUAACAGACUGCCAAUCCCAGUGAUGAUUGAACCUGGUGCUAGUAUAAACAAAAGGAGCUUUCAGCCAUACCUGUACUUGUUUUCAUCUCUUCACACUGAGUGUACAGACAUUCUAGGCUUCAGAGUGACACACAAGAGUGACAGUCGUGGAAUGUCAUUGUACUGAGUAAGCCUGUGCUGAGAUACUUUGCUGAAUAGACUUGGACUAUUGAAUCUAGGCUUGCAAGUAUGAGGUGAGCGGGAUCGGGCCCUCAUACUAUAACGAGCA